UAUAUAGGAAUAAUUACAUGUUGUCUUCGUCAGAUUCAUCAUCUUCCUCGAGAGAUUCCUAAAGAAAAAGCAAAGUCCAAUGAGGAAGAGUCCUUCAGAAAAGCUACACAAAUUGAAAUUUAAGAUUUGAUCUAACGUAUGAAAAGGAACAAAGUUACACUUAAUAUGUAAGAAGAAACUGCAGAUGCUGGUUUAAACCGAAGAUAGACACAAAAAGAUGGAGUAACUCAGUGGGACAGGCAGCAUCUCUGGAGAGAAGAAAUGGGUGAUGUUUUGGGUCGAGACCAUUCUUCAGACUUGCAUAUUACACUUAAUAUGUCAGCUCACACAACACACCAGCAGGUGAUAUCUGUAGCAGGCAUGCCUGCACAAAAUGAAGACGAGUUUCCUCAUGCAGCAACAGUUUAAGUAAAUAAAAAUGUCAACGUAUUUCAGCUAUUUGUAAAAAAAUACUUACAUUUUUGCCACUUCUUUAACAACUUCCCUGCAUGUCAUAUCUUUCAUCUAAAAUGAAUCAUGAAGAGUGUUUAUAUAUUAGAUAUUAUGUUCUUCAGUACACUCCAAAGCAAGCCCAGUUUUUAUCUUAAGCAAGUGAUUCAAAAAAGAUGCAGAUUUAUUUCAUUUUGAAGCCACAUUGUUAAAUGCUUUUUAAUGUAACCUCUGUUUUAAUAAAGCCUCUAACAGGA